CCUACGGGAGGCUGCAGUGAGGAAUAUUGGUCAAUGGACGAGAGUCUGAACCAGCCAAGUAGCGUGAAGGAUGACUGCCCUAUGGGUUGUAAACUUCUUUUAUAAAGGAAUAAAACGAGGCACGUGUGCCUUUUUGCAUGUACUUUAUGAAUAAGGAUCGGCUAACUCCGUGCCAGCAGCCGCGGUAAUACGGAGGAUCCGAGCGUUAUCCGGAUUUAUUGGGUUUAAAGGGAGCGUAGAUGGGUUGUUAAGUCAGUUGUGAAAGUUUGCGGCUCAACCGUAAAAUUGCAAUUGAUACUGGCAGUCGUGAGUACAGUUGAGGUAAGCGGAAUUCGUGGUGUAGCGGUGAAAUGCUUAGAUAUCACGAAGAACCCCGAUUGCGAAGGCAGCUUACUAAACUGUGACUGACAUUGAUGCUCGAAAGUGUGGGUAUCAAACAGGAGUAGAUACCCGGGUAGUC
rnacentral:rRNA from 1 species